rnacentral:rRNA from 1 species
UACGAAGGGUGCAAACGUUGCUCGGAAUCAUUGGGCGUAAAGCGCACGUAGGCGGCUUUGCAAGUCUGACGUGAAAUCCCUCAGCUCAACUGAGGAAGUGCAUCGGAAACUGCAAGGCUUGAGUACUGAAGAGGAUGGCGGAAUUCCCCAAGUAGAGGUGAAAUUCGUAGAUAUGGGGAGGAACACCGGUGGCGAAGGCGGCCAUCUGGACGGAUACUGACGCUGAGACGCGAAAGCGUGGGGAGCAAACAGG